GCGGGCAUAGCUCAGUUGGAUAGAGCGCUGGCCUCCGAAGCCAGAGGCCGCAGGUUCGACUCCUGCUGCUCGCG
rnacentral:tRNA from 1 species